AGAGUUUGAUCCUGGCUCAGAAUGAACGUUGGCGGCGUGGAUUAGGCAUGCAAGUCGAGCGGAAAGGCCCGCAAGGGCACUCGAGCGGCGUAAGGGACAGUAAUGUGUAGGUACGUACCCCUGGGUCUAGGAUAGCUGCGGGAAACUGCAAUUAAUACUAGAUGAUGUCUCCGGACCAAAGGUGUGAUUCCACCCAGGGAGCGGCCUACAUCCUAUUAGCUAGUUGGUGAGGUGACGGCUCACCAAGGCGAAGAUGGGUAGCAGGUGUGAGAGCACGACCUGCGUCACUGGGACUGAGACACUGCCCAGACACCUACGGGUGGCUGCAGUCGAGAAUCUUCGGCAAUGGGCGAAAGCCUGACCGAGCGACGCCGCGUGCGGGAUGAAGGCCGUUCGGGUUGUAAACCGCUGUCGGGAGGGGAUGAAAUGCCGGUGGGUACUCCCAUCGGCUUGACUGAUCCUCGGAGGAAGGGUGGGCUAAGUUCGUG
rnacentral:rRNA from 1 species